rnacentral:rRNA from 1 species
GACGAGGGAUCCUAGCGUUGUUCGGAAUUAUUGGGCGUAAAGCGGGCGUAGGCGGCUUUGUAAGUCGGGUGUGAAAUCCCUGGGCUCAACCCAGGACGUGCAUUCGAUACUGCUUAGCUUGAGUGUGGAAGAGGUGAGUGGAAUUCCUGGUGUAGUGGUGAAAUACGUAGAUAUCAGGAGGAACACCGGUGGCGAAAGCGGCUCACUGGUCCAACACUGACGCUGAAGCCCGAAAGCGUGGGGAUCAAACAGG